AUGUGUGGGGGUUCGAGAAACGAGGUGAUCGAGUCACGAAGGUUUGAAUGUUAUUAGCGAGGCAACCACGAAUAGUUUUCACACUUAAAACGAGGACGAUUUAAACGAGUUAACGAUUUGGGAACGAUUCAUACAAGAGUAGACGAAUUUGAUAAACGCGAAGGUAUUGAUGCUUGAUGAUGAUUACUAGGAUGCAUGCGUCACGUAGGAACUGGACAAGGCCUUAGUGACAGAAUAACAAGUGAUAGACGAUAUGUAGUUUGUUUGUGAUGUGCUAAGACAAUGUAAUGUUUAAUAUUAUCAAUAAAACGAAACUAUUU
rnacentral:lncRNA from 1 species